rnacentral:lncRNA from 1 species
UGGGUUUUUGCUUUUCUAGACAACCAACAUCUCCGCCACCAUCAGUGUGAGCUCGGACAGGAUUGUUGGUUCAGUGACCACAGGAAGUAAGCUGAAAUUGGAACUGAAACACUCCAACGUCCGUUUCAUCAACGUGGAGCUGAUGGAAGCCAUCCUCAAUUACUACGCGCUCCACACCAUAUACCCCUCUCUCAAUGCAAAGCUUGAGGAGGGCUUCCCUCUCCCUCUGCCAAGGGACACCCACCUCAACAGCUUGGAGCUCCAAGUCCACGAGAAUUUCUUGCUCUUGGGAGCCAACCUUGAUUAGGCUGAACAUUGAAGAAGGAGCAGCGUGGCUGGAGGAGGGGACAACACCACAGCUGGGCCUGCCCCUGCCCCCGUGGGGGGUCCAGAGGCUGCAGCCGCUCUGCCUCCACUCACCAUGAGGGCCUCCUCCACGUGGACACUCGUCACCGGGGAGCCUGGGGCACCCGAAGACACCCCUGACCGUGGGACACCUUCCCCGCCCCUCUCCUCCUCCUUCCUGUGCCCUUUCCUGCCCCCUUUGCAUCUGUCCUUAGCCUUACUCUGGGCAGCCGCUAGAAUAAACUUCAGUGAAG